rnacentral:lncRNA from 1 species
CACAGUGGUGAUGAGAUGUCUGACUCCGAGCCUCGUUCCCAUGCCUAGUCACCCUGGUCAGCCCUCAGGAGGGAAUGGAACCAGUGGGGAUGUCAGGCUGUGGGCUCCGGAUGUGGAUCCCUGGAGGAAGGCCUGACUCCCCAUUUCCACAGUCCCACCCCUCCCUCAGCUGUGGAUUGUUCUAGGAACAUUUACCGAGCACCUGCUGUUUGGAGCCAGGUUUUGGGAACUUAUGCUGUUCCCAGGGAGAUAGAGGGAAGACAGGGAAGGGAGAGCUGGGUUUGGCUCUCAGUUGUGUCCCUGAGCUGUGCCUGUCUCUACAGAGGUCAGAGGUCCCACUUGUUAGGCCCUUCUUAGCAGCUGAUGCUUCUUGGGACUACUGGUUUACCCCGGUGCAGCUAUGCAUUAGAACUUUUCUUGGCCCCAAGAUAACAGGGGAUGAAGCUGGGCCUCCCAGAGGUGAAGCCACCUGCCCAGCAUGAUCAGGCAGCCAGAGAGGGAGUGCAAGUGUCAUCAGAGCUGGUCAAGUGCUCAACCCCCACCCCAGCCCCAGGGGAUGAGUGCUUCCUAACCCUGCAGAGUGGGAUUUGGUGCAUUGCUCCUGACAUAUUUCAGAUUUUCCCACCUUUGUGGCGUGCGGUGCCCCCCACCUCCAAGUUGUGCAUGGCAUGGGACCACAGACUAGGCAGGAAAUCUCCUUCUCUUAGAGGAUACGGAAUCCCCCGCUUUACAGGCAGCCGAGGCCUGCAGAGGGUUUCUGAGGCCAUCCCACUGAAGCUUGGCAACCCUGAACUCAGCUUUCUGACCUUACGUGACACAGUGACCCCCUCACUCAAGAAGCAGGUCCCUCCUAUGUGUCCCAGCACCCCUGGCCUGAGCAAACUGGCAAAGGGGCCCCCUCUGGAGGGACUGUCUGCCACCCCAGACCCCACCUCUCUCCCUGCCCCCUGCCCCUGCUGGUUGGGGAAGGGGCUCUCAUGGCCCAGGCUGAGCAGGCAGUGAGCAUGUCAAGUCGUCCAACACUGUGAAAUUAGUGCCCCCACCGCUCCCCC